CGUGAACUUCCUCGUGGAGCGUACCUUGCAGGAGCGUAGCACGGCCGUGUAGGAUAUCCAUUGAGUACAUGACGUGCUGAUAUAGUUUUCAGCACCUCCAAGACUUCCUGGCGGUGCUUCUUCCACCUUACAACAUAGUUAUUAGUAUGUACCGGAUAGCCAUCCUACUGUGUCUGGCGGCGGCCUCCACGCAGGACAUCACCAGCGGCGGCGUGUCCCUGGAGGAG